UACGAGGGGGGCUAGCGUUGCUCGGAAUCACUGGGCGUAAAGCGCACGUAGGCGGCUUCUUAAGUCAGGGGUGAAAUCCUGGAGCUCAACUCCAGAACUGCCUUUGAUACUGGGAGGCUCGAGUCCGGGAGAGGUGAGUGGAACUGCGAGUGUAGAGGUGAAAUUCGUAGAUAUUCGCAAGAACACCAGUGGCGAAGGCGGCUCACUGGCCCGGUACUGACGCUGAGGUGCGAAAGCGUGGGGAGCAAACAGG
rnacentral:rRNA from 1 species